UACGUAGGGCGCAAGCGUUGUCCGGAAUUAUUGGGCGUAAAGAGCUCGUAGGCGGUCUGUUACGUCCGCUGUGAAAACCCGGGGCUUAACCCUGGGCUGGCAGUGGAUACGGGUAGACUAGAGGCAGGUAGGGGAGAAUGGAAUUCCCGGUGUAGCGGUGAAAUGCGCAGAUAUCAGGAAGAACACCCGUGGCGAAGGCGGCGACCUGGGCCAAUAUUGACGCUGAGGUGCGAAAGCGUGGGGAGCGAACAGG
rnacentral:rRNA from 1 species